CCCGGGCCUUGUACACACCGCCCGUCACACCAUGAGAGUCGGGAACACCCGAAGUCCGUAGCCUAACCGCAAGGAGGGCGCGGCCGAAGGUGGGUUCGAUAAUUGGGGUGAAGUCGUAACAAGGUACC
rnacentral:rRNA from 1 species